CUGAAUAACUGAACAAAUUGCUUCUGGCUUGCACCGGGAAUGUAUCUUUCGAGUGUCUGCCUUAUCAACUUUCGAUGGUAGUUUAUGCACCUACCAUGGUUGUAACGGGUAACGGAUAAUUAUGGUUCCACUCCAGAGAGGGAGCCUGACAAACGGCUACCACUUCUAAGGAAGGCAGCACGCGCGCAAAUUACCCAUUCUCGGAACAAGGAGGGAGUGACAAAAAAUAACGAGACGGGUCUCUUCUGACAGCCGUCAUCUGAAUGAGAACAACAUACAUCCUUUAACAAGGACCUAACGGAGGGCAAGUCUGGUGCCACCACCCGCGGUAAUUCCCCCUCCGCCAGUGUAUAUCUAUGCUGCUGCGGUUAAAAAG
rnacentral:rRNA from 1 species